AGAUUUAAGUUACAGGAUGGCAGAUUCCAGCUGAAUGUCAGAAAAAACUUCCAAACAUUAAGAGCAGAUCUUCAAAGGAACAAGUUACUAAGAAAGGAAAUUGCAUUCUCCUGUUAAUCCAUCCUGGCCACCUAUGAUUUAUGCAAACCAUAGUUUGCUUAGUCUGGAUGAAACAGCUCACUGUGGCUUGCUAUGAAAGAAGAAGACAAAGAGGAAAAUGAAGAGGAGAUGGGAGAUGGUGAGGCAGGAAGAAAUGCACAACUGAAUGAGAAUACUGAUUGACUUUCGGUGAAGAAAUCAGAGAAAGGUUUAUAAAAGGGUGGAUUCUGGGCAGAUAUGAUCCUGCCAGGCUCAAUAUUCAUAUUGAGGAUUAAUAUGCAAGUUGCAAUAACUGACAGAACCUGGAAGGGUGGCAGGAUUUGUCACAGAAAGGUAAUACAUCAAAAUAAAUGAAGAAAAUGUUAUUACAAACAUAUUACAAAAUCUA